AGAAUGGCUUCUUUUGAAGCCAUCAAAUCUGACAAAUUAGAAGGAA
rfam:Dipodomys ordii contig_47897, whole genome shotgun sequence.